rnacentral:misc_RNA from 1 species
GUAUAUAUAUAUAUAUUAAAUUUCAUCAAUAACAUUCUUGUAACAAAUGUGUGUGUUUAUAUGGAUAAACAUAGGCGAUAAAGCCUACAAAAAGUGCACAUGGGUGUGUAGAUAGAGGUGUGCACAUAUCUUUUAAAAGAAGAUCAGCUACAACCCCUUCAAAAUUCAAUAAUGAUCCUUCCGCAGGUUCACCUACGGAAA